CGUCAUGUUUCUGGCAGGGAGAGCGAGGACCACCAGGGCUGAAUGGAACUCAGGGGCACAUCGGUUACCCUGGAAACAGAGGAAUCAAGGGCCAGCAAGGCUACAAUGGAAAUAAAGGAGCAGAUGGGGAGGAUGGGCUGGAUGGAAUGGAUGGAGAACAGGGCGAUGCUGGUCUACCUGGGCUUCCAGGACCUAAAGGAGACCCGGGCAGUGCUGGUGUGAAGGGUUUCAAAGGGAGUCCUGGAACUAAGGGACACAGCGGUCUGAGAGGAGAUCCUGGCACACCAGGAAUAGACAACAAUUUUCCAGGUCCAAAAGGCGAGAGAGGAGAUACUGGACUCCCGG